UACGGGGGGGGCAAGCGUUGUUCGGAAUUACUGGGCGUAAAGGGCGCGUAGGCGGUCAGACCAAGUCGAGUGUGAAAUUCCAGGGCUUAACUCUGGCACGCUCGCUCGAUACUGGUCGGCUAGAGUGUGGAAGAGGAUGCUGGAAGUCCCGGUGUAGCGGUGAAAUGCGUAGAUAUCGGGAGGAACACCAGUGGCGAAGGCGGGCAUCUGGGCCAACACUGACGCUGAGGCGCGAAAGCUAGGGGAGCAAACAGG
rnacentral:rRNA from 1 species